GCCUGGGUGGCUCAGUCGGUUAAGCGUCUGACUUCGGCUCAGGUCAUGAUCUCACGGUUCAUGGGUUCGAGCCCCGCAUCGGGCU
rnacentral:tRNA from 1 species